CUUAACACAUGCAAGUCGAGGGGCAGCGGGGGUAGCGAUACCCGCCGGCGACCGGCGCACGGGUGAGUAACGCGUAUGCAACUUGCCUAUCAGAGGGGGAUAACCCGGCGAAAGUCGGACUAAUACCGCAUGAAGCAGGGGCCCCGCAUGGGGAUAUUUGCUAAAGAUUCAUCGCUGAUAGAUAGGCAUGCGUUCCAUUAGGCAGUUGGCGGGGUAACGGCCCACCAAACCGACGAUGGAUAGGGGUUCUGAGAGGAAGGUCCCCCACAUUGGUACUGAGACACGGACCAAACUCCUACGGGAGGCAGCAGUGAGGAAUAUUGGUCAAUGGCCGAGAGGCUGAACCAGCCAAGUCGCGUGAGGGAUGAAGGUUCUAUGGAUCGUAAACCUCUUUUAUAAGGGAAUAAAGUGCGGGACGUGUCCCGUUUUGUAUGUACCUUAUGAAUAAGGAUCGGCUAACUCCGUGCCAGCAGCCGCGGUAAUACGGAGGAUCCGAGCGUUAUCCGGAUUUAUUGGGUUUAAAGGGUGCGUAGGCGGCCUUUUAAGUCAGCGGUGAAAGUCUGUGGCUCAACCAUAGAAUUGCCGUUGAAACUGGGGGGCUUGAGUAUGUUUGAGGCAGGCGGAAUGCGUGGUGUAGCGGUGAAAUGCAUAGAUAUCACGCAGAACCCCGAUUGCGAAGGCAGCCUGCCAAGCCAUUACUGACGCUGAUGCACGAAAGCGUGGGGAUCAAACAGGAUUAGAUACCCUGGUAGUCCACGCAGUAAACGAUGAUCACUAGCUGUUUGCGAUACACUGUAAGCGGCACAGCGAAAGCGUUAAGUGAUCCACCUGGGGAGUACGCCGGCAACGGUGAAACUCAAAGGAAUUGACGGGGGCCCGCACAAGCGGAGGAACAUGUGGUUUAAUUCGAUGAUACGCGAGGAACCUUACCCGGGUUUGAACGCAUUCGGACCGAGGUGGAAACACCUUUUCUAGCAAUAGCCGUUUGCGAGGUGCUGCAUGGUUGUCGUCAGCUCGUGCCGUGAGGUGUCGGCUUAAGUGCCAUAACGAGCGCAACCCUUGCCACUAGUUACUAACAGGUAAAGCUGAGGACUCUGGUGGGACUGCCAGCGUAAGCUGCGAGGAAGGCGGGGAUGACGUCAAAUCAGCACGGCCCUUACAUCCGGGGCGACACACGUGUUACAAUGGCGUGGACAAAGGGAAGCCACCUGGCGACAGGGAGCGAAUCCCCAAACCACGUCUCAGUUCGGAUCGGAGUCUGCAACCCGACUCCGUGAAGCUGGAUUCGCUAGUAAUCGCGCAUCAGCCAUGGCGCGGUGAAUACGUUCCCGGGCCUUGUACACACCGCCCGUCAAGCCAUGGGAGCCGGGGGUACCUGAAGUCCGUAACCGCGAGGAUCGGCCUAGGGUAAAACUGGUGACUGGGGCU
rnacentral:rRNA from 1 species